rnacentral:rRNA from 1 species
AUUGAACGCUGGCGGCAUGCUUUACACAUGCAAGUCGAACGGCAGCGCGGGCUUCGGCCUUGCGGCGAGUGGCGAACGGGUGAGUAAUGCAUCGGAACGUGCCCGGUAGUGGGGGAUAGCGUGCGGAAAGGGGGGUUAAUACCGCAUACGACCUGAGGGUGAAAGCGGGGGACCUACGGGCCUCGCGCUAUUAGAUGGGCCGAGGUCGGAUUAGCUAGUUGGUGGGGUAAAGGCUUACCAAGGCGACGAUCCGUAGCUGGUCUGAGAGGACGACCAGCCACACUGGGACUGAGACACGGUCCAGACUCCUACGGGAGGCAGCAGUGGGGAAUUUUGGACAAUGGGGGCAAGCCUGAUCCAGCCAUGCCGCGUGCGUGAAGAAGGUCUUCGGAUUGUAAAGCGCUUUUGUUCGGGAAGAAAUCCUCUGGGCUAAUACCCCGCGGGGAUGACGGUACCAAAAGAAUAAGCACCGGCUAACUACGUG